rnacentral:sRNA from 2 species
CAACGUUUAUUACGGGUAUUGGUUUAGCCACUGGCGCGCCUGAUACCCAAAAGGCGCCCAGAUUCAGGGGACGCCAACCAGAGAAUUCUCUACCCCCGGUCGGCUACCCGACCGGGGG